GACGAACGCUGGCGGCGUGCUUAACACAUGCAAGUCGAACGGAAAGGCCCUGCUUUUGUGGGGUGCUCGAGUGGCGAACGGGUGAGUAACACGUGAGUAACCUGCCCUUGACUUUGGGAUAACUUCAGGAAACUGGGGCUAAUACCGGAUAGGAGCUCCUGCUGCAUGGUGGGGGUUGGAAAGUUUCGGCGGUUGGGGAUGGACUCGCGGCUUAUCAGCUUGUUGGUGGGGUAGUGGCUUACCAAGGCUUUGACGGGUAGCCGGCCUGAGAGGGUGACCGGCCACAUUGGGACUGAGAGACGGCCCAGACUCCUACGGGAGGCAGCAGUGGGGAAUAUUGCACAAUGGGCGGAAGCCUGAUGCGGCAACGCCGCGUGCGGGAUGACGGCCUUCGGGUUGUAAACCGCUUUCGCCUGUGACGAAGCGUGAGUGACGGUAAUGGGUAAAGAAGCACCGGCUAACUACGUG
rnacentral:rRNA from 1 species